GAUAAGGGGAAGAGAUGGCCUUCAGGAUAUGGACAGUCUCUGUUGCCUGGCUACUUCCUUUCCUCCUUAGUCACACACACCCCUUGGGAACAGGGACUGUGUUUGUACCCUACAGCAUUUUCUGUAUCUGGGAGUUGAAACGUAGUAGGCGCUCAACAAACCUUGUUGCAUCCCUGUCGGAUAAAUAGAACUCUGCUCUUCAUGGAGAACAGCUUUGCAGCAGUCACUGCUACCUGCCCGGCACAUCGUCAGGGUGCAGUCAUGUGAGAGGGGGGAAGGAGGAGCUUCCCACUGAGCCUAGGGCAGGGCAGGGCUCAGGACCACUUCCAGAAGGAGAGGCCGGAGCUGAGAACCAAAUAACAGCUGAGAGUCAGCCAGGUGAGAAACAGCCGGGCCACUGGAAGAAGGAUGCUCUCAGUAUUGACAGAAGCCACAUAGGGCACUACCUGAUGGACAGAAUGUUCCGGGAGCAGCGGUAGGAGGUGAGGCAGAGAGGGCUGGGGCAGGCAGCCAAACUCAUCUUUCUCAACUCUGCCUUCCUUAACUUCCCUAAUUCUGCAGAAGGUGCCCAUUUUCCUGGAGACCUUUCUGCAGAGCAAUCUUGAACACUUCGCCCCCAGGGCAGUGUCUCUCUCCCUCACAGUUCUGGUCUUCCAGGUUCUGUGCUCUCUGUCCACCUGGGUUCUCUAUCCUUUCCCAGGACUCCACUCUCUCAUUCUGUUGCCUGGUUAUUGUCCUGGCCUCUGAACUGGUCUUGUUUGUCUCCAAUCCAUCCUGUACACACCUGCCAGAUUCUUCUUUCUGGAGUCCAAACUCUGCUCCUGGAUGGUGCCCUCCCCUGUUCAAUAGUUUUCCAUGACCCCCAGGUAUCAUCUCUACUCAGCAUCCUAGGACCUCACCUGUAGAUAUUGUCUCUACUCAACACCCUAGGACCUCACCUGUACUUAUCUCUACUCAGCAUCCUAAGACCUCACCUGUAGGUGUUGUCUCUACUCAGCAUCCUAGGAUCUUACUCUGUAUAUUAUAUCCAACAGUCUGGACUGUUUCGUCAAUGUCCUUAUCCACACAGUGAGCAAAGCUAGACUUUACUCCUCUCCAAACGUUCCUGAGUUCUACUUUAAUACAUGUCCCAGAUCUCCAGAUCACUAUGGAGUCUUACCUGUGCCUCAAGGCCAGUCUUACCCUUGGCUUUUUCUGAAGCAUUUCCUGAUUCCCUCAGAUCUUUACUCUAGCUCCUGCCUCAGUCACAGUAUGGUCCAGCCUUCCUGCUGAACUAUUUCUCCUGGAUGAAAGAAUUUUCACCAAAUCAGUGGCCUCACUGAGGGCCACAUACAUAUGCUAUAGCCAGGGGACCCAGACAGAUCUCUGCCCUAGCAACCACUACUCUUAGGCUCUAAGAGAAACUUACAGGAAGAACAGGGAAGAAAGCAGAGGUACGUUUAGUAGAAGCUAAGCAUGUUUCACCUGCCUCCAUAAGCCCCUUAUGGAGAACUGGGUUCACCUGGACACAGCCUGGGGGUUUCAUUCUCCCCAAACCUCUGCUGUUCUUGUGUGUGUCCUGAUCAGCCACAUGGGAGGACAGUAGAGGGUGCCUGAGCCCACCAUCAAGUAGAAUCUGCCACAUGAAUGGGGCAAAGUGCCUGGCCAACCCUGUCCUGGCCCAGCUCUAUACACAGCAGCUAUAGCCACCCGCAAAUAUAGUCUAAUAUGUGUCCUGCACCCUAACCAGCCUUUGGGCCUCCAGCUCGCAAAUGAUGACAUGGAGAUUUAUUAGUUAUAAAAGCUUGGCCUUAACUUAGGCUUGUUCCCAGCUAGCUCUUAUAACUUAAAUUAACCUGUUCCUAUUAAUCUGUGUUCUGCCAUGUGACUCGGUUACCUCUCCUCUGUACUGUAUGUCCAACUUCUUCAGUGUCUCACAGGCGUCUCUCUAGUGUGCCUAGAUUCAUCUCCAGUUCCUCUGUCUCCCUGGAAGUCCCGCCUAUUCUCUCCUGCCUAGCUAUUGGCCAUUCAGCUCUUUAUCAAACCAAUCAGAAGGCGCCUUGGCAAAGACACAUCUUUACAGUGUACAGAAAGAUUAUCCCACAACAAAAGUCCUCUCCCUCUUUGGGACAGAAGGGCAGGGGAGGUGCUCAGGGAUGGAGUUGGAGUUCUGGAGCUUCCCAUCUUACCAUUGACAUUUCCAAGUCUAUCACUGGACUUAAGACAGAAUAGGACCAUCAUAGAGAUGUUAAUUUGAAAUGGAUCCUGCCAGCCUGACCAGAGUCCCAGGCCUGGGAACUCUUAACAGGAUGGGGACAGAUUUCAGAGUAAUGUGAUUUGUCUGCCAGGAAUCCACAUGCUUAGUGGUCCAUCUCCACUGGGGCUGGGCUUGGGUCAUUCAGAUGUCUAUCCAGGAUCUGGCCCGCAGAAAACAUCACCGAAGAAAUAGAUUUUUCACAGUAGCCUGGGAUUUGAGGGGAAAACACAUUAGACAUAACCGCUGUGUGGAAGAGAUGCACAGACUGGGCCAGUGAGUGUGAACCCCUGGGUAAAAGAUGGAAGAGAGAAGAACCAACAGGACCCGCACAGGGCAGAGUACCAGAGGGGACUUUCAGAAGAUAUGUUAAUGAAGGAAACUGAAAUCUCAAACAGCCAUCCUGCCUAAGUCCUCACGCCUAUGGCUGCUGUAUCCCUAGUAUGUAGGCAGUAUAUCUUAGUUAGGGUUUUAUUACUGUGAAUAGACACCAUGACCAUGACAACUCUUCUUUCUUAUUUAUUUAACUUUUAUUCUUCUCUCAUACAGCAGUCUCCCUUCCCAUUCCUUCCAUCUGCUCCCCCCACCUUCCCUCUCCCUCAGAUCAACUCCUUUUCUGUUUCCCUUGAGAGAGGGAGAGAGAGAGAGAGAGAGAGAGAGAGAGAGAGAGAGAGAGAGAGAGAGCAGGCCUCUCAGGGAUAUCUACCGAACAUGGCCUAAUAUAAGAUAUAAUAAGACUGGGCACAAACCCUCAUAUCAAGACUGAACAAGGCAAACCAUUAGGAGGAAAAGGGUCCCAAGCUCAGGCCAAAGAGCCAGAGACACCUCCCACUCCCAUUGUUGUGAGUCCCAUAAGAACGCCAAGCUACACAACCCAAAAGGCAUAUGCAGAGGACCUAGUUCAGACCCAUACAGGGUGGACUAUGACAACUCUUACAAGGGAAAACAUUUCAUUGGAGCUGGCUUACAGGUUCAGCGGUUUAGUCCAUUGUCGUCAUGGUGGGAAGCAUGGUGGUGUGCAGGCAGACAUGGUGCUGGAGAAGGAGCUGAGAGUUCUACAUCUGGAUAGGCAGGCAGCAGGAAGAGAGAGCGACAUUGGGCCUGGCUUGAGUAUCUGAAACUCCCAGGGACACACCUCCUCCAACAAGGCCACACCUCCUAAUAGUGCCGCUCCCUAUGAGCCAAUGGGGGCCAUUUUCAUUCCAACUACUACACAGUAAGUAAGGUUUACAGUUAGGGUUGUUUCUUACUUCUGUCCCCCACCAUGAUGACAAUUUUCAUUCUGUCUUAAGGCUCCAGGUCCUGGACUUGGAAGUGGGGACAGUUUUGCUUUCAUGAGCCAUGGCCAGUAUCAGGGGCCUGAGUCUAAAAUGGAGCACACAGCUUUGUACAAGGAAUACCACUCUCUGGAUGGAUGGAGGUGUUCGUCUGAAUAGAUGCUGGGCUGUCAGGGGUAUCACAGUGCUCUCUGAUUCCUCAGAGGUGGGCCAGGGCCUUAGAUUUCUCCUUCACACUGAAUCUGGGAAUUACAAUGUUUAUUCUAAAGAAUUGGCUCUCAUCUAAAUUUUAUAUAUUAAAAUUCUUAAGAUUAUUGAAAUUUCCUAUUUGGAACUUUGAGUAUCUGGAUCUCGGCUGUGUGUUGGAGGAGGGAAGGGAGCACACAUAAAUGGUCUUGUUUGAGGACUAUGUAAUAGUCAGGACUAUGUGACACAAACUACUUACGAGAAGAGGUUGACGUUUAUUGUUACCUGACCUCAUUGUUUUGGGCCUGUAGGGAGGCAGAAUGUCACAGUCGGGGGAGACUAGGCAGAGCAAAACUGUUUUCCUCAUGGCAGUUCAUGGCAGCUGGAGAGAGGGAGGGAAGGAGGAAAGGAGGAGAGAGAUAGAGAUAGAGAUAGAUAGAUAGAUAGAUAGAUAGAUAGAUAGAUAGAUAGAUAGAAUAUGACUGUGGUCACAACCCCUGUGACCUAACUUCCUUCCCCUGGGUCCCCCCUCCUAAAGAGUCUCCCACCUCCUGGUACUGUCCCUCACUGGCAAUGAGGCUGUCAGUCCAUGGCUUUGGGGGGCAUUUAAGAUUCAUAAAAUUCUAACCACAUGGCUGCUAAGGUUAUUAUGAAUCAGAGCAUUUGGAUAAUGAUAGUUUUGUUCUUCAGUCCUUUGAGGCUUACAGCCCUGCUAGGAACGAAGCUGAGUAGGUUUUCACUUUGUCUUCUCUCUCUCCCUCCCACUAGACUGCACAGUGGAAACACAAUGGGCUACAUACAAUGGGUCUUGGAUGCUAUUCCCCAUGGCUGUAUAUGCUCGGUGUAGGGAACCAUGGUAGAUCUUAAGAGAAGGAGCCAUAGCCCCAGGCAGGACAUUCUUCUAGAGAAGGAGAGCUUGGAGUAAGGAGUGUCCAACUCACCCAGAGAAAAAGAACUCAUAUAGCUCUGCCCAUUGCUUUCCAAACUGAACCAUUUACUUUUUUUCUUUUUUCUUUAGUCCACCAGGGUGCGCUGGGUGCCUCUGGUCUCUGCCGCCAGUUCCUAAAAUUGCCACUGGGUGGCACUGCUUCCCGCACGUGUAGUGCUGUUUCAGACCAAGCAUGUAACCUUAGUCCUCCCCAAAUCUGGACCCAGAGUCAGUAGCCCAGCUUCUGGGUGUGCGUUCUUGGAAGCUUGGUCCGUGGCUACUGGGGCUCAAAGCCUAGAACUGGGAGAGAGCUCAUGAUCACUUAAGAGAGAGCAGGUGGAUGGAUCAGGAUAUUGGAGGUUAGGUGGAGUCUGGGGACAGAGAAGGGGGCUUGAAGCUCUGACAAGGUAAUUCCUCUCCAUUCUCUCUGGCGUGUAUUGUGCUGUACAAUUGCAUUGAAACAGCAGAAGAGAAAAUGGGCCCUGCACACAGACCAGUGACCUGGAUGGAGGCCAGUUUUCCUUAACUAAAUAAGCAGAUAGCGCUUUGCAUAUGCCAGGUACUUCACAAGUAUUCACUCAGUUCUCACAAUGCCAUGCACUCCAUUUUACAGCUGAGGACACUAAGGCACAGGUUACAGUAGUUAAUAAGUGGAGGACCCCAGACAGCCUUCUCUUGCGGCCCCUGUUCCCUCGGAGGAUGGGUAGAAUGUUCUGGGGAGGGAGGAAGAAGGGCUUGGUCUCUGCAUUUCUUUAGAUAGUUACAGCUUUGAUGCCUUUCAGCUCCGUUCACCCCUCAUUCAUUCAAGCAGUGCUGCAGGGCUUCCUGUGGGCCGGGGGCUUGACCUAGUGGGGCCUGAUUUGUCAGCCAUACCAACGACAGUCACCAAAGUGUGUGUUCUAGAGACAGGAACUCAGCCCUUCUGUCUUAGUUUGGGUUUCUGUCACUGUGAAGAGACACCAUGACCAUGGCAACUCUUAUAAAGCAAAACAUUUAAUUGAGGUGGUGGCUUAUAGUUUCAGAGGUUCAGUCUAUUAUCAUCGUGGCGGGAAGCAUGGCAGUGUGCAGGCAGAUGUGGUGCUGGAGGAGAAACUGAGAGUCCUACAUCAUUCAGGCAAAAGGAAGUCAACUGAGACACUGGGCAUAAGAAAACUCAAAGCUCCCCCACCCCCACAGUGACACACUUCCUCCAACAAGGCCAUAUCCAUCCAACAAAGCCACACUUUCUAAUAGUGCCACUCCCUAUGAGAUUAGGGGGCCAAUUACUACACUUUCCUAUCUGCAGACCCCUUCCUCCUGGUUCGGUGGCAGCCCCUCCCCCUCCUGAGCCCAUGUGGCAUAUUUGAGCCCAGUUACAUUUGCCCAAGAUGCUAUUAUUGUUAAGGCUCAGGACAUAGAUAGUAGCUGGACUACUGGCAGAGUCCUUUGUGACUUAGAAGGCAGGUGGCAUCCACAGUCUUUUUUUGGCCUUGUCUGCAGUGGCUGGCGUGAGUCUCCUGGGGAAGACAACCUCACAGAGAGGAACCUUCAUUCCAUACAAGGUGUCACAGGGUCUUUUCUGGAAAGGUCUUUGGUUUCUGACUUGAGUUUGCAUCCAGGCCGUUUACCUGACUUCUGCUUUUGUUGCCCACAUACUGGUGGAUACCAAGCUCCCAGCGAGUAGAGAUAUUCAGAAGAGACCGUGUGAACCCGUUUCCCAGUGUCACGGAAGUCUCUCUCGCUAGUGUGGCUGUGGAGAUGUGCCAGAUACUAUUCCAGGUACCUGAAACAGGGCAGGAGAUGGAUGCAACCAGGACAGACGAGGUCUCGAGUGUCUGUGGGCCACUUCUAUCCCAUUGCCUCCUGGGGUUCCCAGGGCUGUGGGUAAGCUCACACAUCCCUCAGUGAGGCACUUGGUGCUUGUUGGCAUCAGCCCCUGACAAUGCUUUCAGUCUCACAUCUCCUACCUCCUACCCGUGAUGACCAGAGUAAAGCUCUGGCUUUGGUGAGCACUUUGCAUUCUCCCAACAGCUUGGAACACUAUCCUUUACCUUCUCCAUCAGUGUCAUGGCCCCAGUGCAAAGCACCCCACACGGAGCAUCGCACAUGGGGGAUGCUUCUUCAUCAACUCUCCAGUCCCAUGGGGUUGAUGCGCUGUGACAACCCGAAGAAGCCUCUCCCCUGCAGAACAGAGUCUGCGGUCUCCAAAUUUAACUUCUGCAAGCCCCUGAGGUCCCCAGAGUCACCUCCUCACGUCUUCUGUCCACACUGUCCGGUUGCAACCAAUGCGAAGUCUUCAAAACAGCGACGGAGCUAAGGAGGGCGGUGGUGACGUCUUCUCCGGCUGGUCGAACAGCUGCAUUCACGCUUGGCCCUGCAGUGGCUUGGCUUCAGCAGCAGCCAUGGUGUUCGCAGCCGUUCAGGGAAGCAGGAGCUGCAGAACAUUUCCCUACUGUGCUCAAGUGUACCAGCAGCCGGUCUGAGUCUCUGCAAAUUCAUGACCACGGGGAGGUAAUUUGGGGGCUGAACCUUCCGAGGUACCUACUAGAAGUGAGGAAGCGGUAUAGGUGAGGCACAAGCUGGAGGUCUUGGGGCUCAGGGUGAUGCUUCUCUCUCUCUCUCCACGGUGCUUUCAAGGAGAGUUAGUUAGGAAGGUCUUCAAAAAGGAGGAAGAAGAGGAGGAGGAGGAGGAUGCUGCCGUGGCCUCUUGCCACCUGACCCAGAUUCCCCAAGGAAUCAUAUCACAUGAAUAAUUAACCUUUCGGCAAGCCAAGGAACUGAUCUUCAGCGAGCAGAGAUUUCAUGAAAAUUUAAAGACCCGAAGCUGAAGCAGGCGCUGUGUGUUGUUUUCAUGAUGGCUUAGACAUCUUUGAAAACCCAAAGUCCCAAGGUCUGCCCUUGGGUCCUACUGUGACAUCAGCAUGGGCUUC